GGAACUUGGAAGAACUUCACCAAUGCACUUGGAUUUGACAGUACUUUCCUUCCCAGCUGCUGUAAGCAAUCAUUUUUCCUACUGUCAUCUCAUUAGCUGAGGGCUAAUUAGGGAGGGCAGUGAGUUGGGGCAGCCAUGCCCUGUCUGGGAGUGGAAUUCCUUCUCCUUGAUCAAUGGCCUGGUCUGAGAGGUACAGGGAUGGUACAGACUGGAGAGCACUGGAACUGCACCACUGGGAGUAUUCUAAGAUUACCUCAACUACUGAUCACCUCGCUAAGUGGUUGCUUCACCCAACUGUGG
ensembl:lncRNA